rnacentral:lncRNA from 1 species
ACUUUCCAUAGUAGACAUUCUCUCAGCCACAUAUAGCAAUGCUUCAGAAAUUUUGUCACAGAAAAAUGAUCUUUACUUAUUGCUGUUCUUCAAUAAAUCUCAUUUGAGAAAUAAGUUUAGGGAUUCUCUCAGUAAUGUUCUCUGUAUAGAAAUGCCGCUGAACCACUAUGUAAAUGUUUUCUUCAGCAAUUUCAAGUGAGCUUUCGCCUGUUUCUGUCUUUACUCGACCUACAGUCUGCCUCAAAUAAAUUGAAAGUUAAGGUAGUUUAAGCUUGACAAAGGCCGCUUCACUCUCCUGGUGCGGAAACGCCCUGCUUAAGCCUCUCCCUCUUCAGCUUCUUCUUCGAGACGGGUUUCUUCUUUCUCGAAGGAAGGGUCUUUUUUGCGUAUGUGUAGAGAGCGUAGUUCCCGGCAAGAAAGAGAAGCAAAACUCCCCCCACAACAAGGAGGACCACCAUGCCUGGGUUCAAUCCUUUCUUUCCCUCUUCAAUGAUGACAUUACCCUUUCAUAUCGGAAAUAAGUAAAAGAACAAACAUAUCAAACGGAGGAGGAUGAAAAGGUCCCAUUCUAAAUGCUAAGAACGAAAUUUUUCUCAAGUAAUGUAAACUAAAUCCAAAGGGUUGAACAAGAUAUGGUGUGGUAAGCUAUAAACUUGAAAGACACACAUGCAAGUUAGUUUAUGGCGUUCUUCGCAACAAGAACCAAAAAGACAUCAAACUUAAACCCUCGUGUAAUGUCACGCAAUUUACAUCUCUACAGGAAGGAUGAAGAGCUUCGAAUAUAACUUUGUAUCUCAAAAAGAGAAUUAUUUUCAAACAAACACUAUCAUCAAGUGCAUUAUAAACUGGUUCUAACAUUUUCAGGAAGAGAAAGGCCUAUUCUCUGGUCUCCUACUCCCAUUUGGCUCCCUCCGCAUGUAUAUAAAUUUUGGACUAACAAAUUCUGCUACAAUAAAGCACUGUAUUCGGUAUAUAAAUUAUAAUCUGUAUAGGGCAACGAACAUUAAGCACUACGCCGACUUUCUCAAAGCUAAUUAAAUAGAUAAUCAAAUUAAAUUCCAUCGUUUACACCUUCUGUGUGCUGUAACUUGUUUGAGUGUUUGUGACCUGGUGUAUUUUCCUAGCAUCAUGAAAUAUUUUCCGUGACAAACAGAAGAAACUUAGAUUCAGUAAAUCAAUUGUCACUGAGAAAUAAUCUCUCAAAUGCUAAACGAAAAUCAUAAAUCUAUCUACAUGCAAAUUCAAGGACAAUUGCUCUGUAUUGUUACAGUAAA